rnacentral:rRNA from 1 species
AUUGAACGCUGGCGGCAGGCUUAACACAUGCAAGUCGAGCGAGCGGCGGACGGGUGAGUUAUGUAUGGGAAACUGCCUGAUGGAGGGGGAUAACUACUGGAAACGGUAGCUAAUACCGCAUACCAUCAGCUGGGCCCAGGUGGGAUUAGCUAGUAGGUGGGGUACUGGCUCACCUAGGCGACGAUCCCUAGCUGGUCUGCGAGGAUGAACAGCCACACUGGAACUGAGACACGGUCCAGACUCCUACGGGAGGCAGCAGUGGGGAAUAUUGGACAAUGGGCGAAAGCCUGAUGCAGCCAUGCCGCGUGUGUGAAGAAGGCCUUCGGGUUGUAAAGCACUUUCAGCUAGGAGGCGUUACUCGCAGAAGAAGCACCGGCUAACUCCGUGCCAGCAGCCGCGGUAAUAC